rnacentral:rRNA from 1 species
AUUGAACGCUGGCGGCAUGCUUUACACAUGCAAGUCGAACGGUAACAGCACUUCGGUGGCUGACGAGUGGCGAACGGGUGAGUAAUACAUCGGAACGUGCCUAGUAGUGGGGGAUAACUACUCGAAAGAGUAGCUAAUACCGCAUGAGAUCUAAGGAUGAAAGCAGGGGACCUUCGGGCCUUGCGCUACUAGAGCGGCUGAUGGCAGAUUAGGUAGUUGGUGGGAUAAAAGCUUACCAAGCCGACGACCUGUAGCUGGUCUGAGAGGACGACCAGCCACACUGGGACUGAGACACGGCCCAGACUCCUACGGGAGGCAGCAGUGGGGAAUUUUGGACAAUGGGCGCAAGCCUGAUCCAGCAAUGCCGCGUGCAGGAUGAAGGCCUUCGGGUUGUAAACUGCUUUUGUACGGAACGAAAAGCCCUCUUCUAAUACAGGAGGGUCAUGACGGUACCGUAAGAAUAAGCACCGGCUAACUACGUG